GGCAUUUGUACAAGCAUAACUUUUGGAAUGGUAGUGUUGAUCUUCCAAAGCAAACCUUAGAAGCACCUACGAUGAUGAUCGUCCACUGAAGACAUGUAUUACUCUAGGUAAAUCCUGUACUGGUCGUUGACAGGAGAGACGUUGGGUUUAUAAGGAGUGAUCCACCUCAAAUAUCACCAACGCAUUUUGGACGCAUUGGUUGUGGAUCCCAUUAGAACAUUACAGUUAAGCAAAUGCUAGCUGGGAAUAGUAUCAGGAAAGGGGGGCUCCUGGGAAGACUCUACUCGGUUUUACAGGGUGGAGAAGUCCGGAUGAGAGGUGCGUAGAAGUUAGAACCAGACUACAAUCGGAGAAGGUGGUGGAUCCAUUUUCAAGACAAAAAAAUGCAAUUAUAUAUUUAUAUUAUAUAUAUGUAUAUAUUAUAAACAACCCAAAAGAAAAACCUAUUUACCUACUAAAUUCUGAACGGGCCAGGUCUGCCGAAGACCCAAAAUUUAAACCCACUAAAAGUGAUUAUUCACUAGGAUGUAGGGCGCUUAAAAACAACCAACAAAAUCGACAUUUCAGGUUUUUUGGGUGACGAUUAGUCAAUCGACGAACGACAUCAUCAAUUCAUCACAUCAACGUUCGACAACAAUCUUGCAUUCUUGCUUACAACGGUCGACGUUUCAGGUUUGAUACCAGCCUACAAUGAAUUUCAAUUCACUGAUCAGGUAUGGAAUUGUGAAUUCGUACGUAAAAUUUAGAUUUUUGAUGCAUUGCUUGAUAAAUAAUGGUUUCUUCCAUCAUUGAUUGUGUGCUUUGAAUGUUUAAAAGAUUGAAAGUUAAAAAUUUGAUGUUUAGAUUUAGAAUUAGAUGUUUAAACUUUAAGUAUGGUUUGGUUGUGUAUUGAUUUUGAUUAAAACUUUGUUGUUUAGACUUUUGGAAGAAACUUACAUGUUUUAAACUUUGAAUUCUUUUAUCUAGAAAUCAUGCCUUACAGUCCCUAAUACAAAUAUCUAUUAUGUAG
rnacentral:lncRNA from 1 species